rnacentral:rRNA from 1 species
GAUGAACGCUGGCGGCGUGCUUAACACAUGCAAGUCGAACGGUGAAGGCGGAGCUUGCUCUGCUGGAUCAGUGGCGAACGGGUGAGUAACACGUGAGCAAUCUGCCCCUGACUCUGGGAUAAGCGCUGGAAACGGCGGCUAAUACUGGAUACGAGCUGCGCAGGCAUCUUCAGCAGCUGGAAAGAAUUUCGGUCAGGGAUGAGCUCGCGGCCUAUCAGCUUGUUGGUGAGGUAAUGGCUCACCAAGGCGUCGACGGGUAGCCGGCCUGAGAGGGUGACCGGCCACACUGGGACUGAGACACGGCCCAGACUCCUACGGGAGGCAGCAGGGGGGAAUAUUGCACAAUGGGCGAAAGCCUGAUGCAGCAACGCCGCGUGAGGGACGACGGCCUUCGGGUUGUAAACCUCUUUUAGCAGGGAAGAAGCGAAAGUGACGGUACCUGCAGAAAAAGCGCCGGCUAACUACGUG